GACGUCGAUAUUCGACGUCAUAAACACGAACAACUUUGUGUUUAUGACGUCGAUAUUCGACGUCAUAAACACGAUCAACUUUGGUGUUUAUGACGUCGAUAUUCGACGUC